GAUGAACGCUAGCGGCAGGCUUAAUACAUGCAAGUCGAGGGGCAGCAUGACUGUAGCAAUACAGUUGAUGGCGACCGGCAAACGGGUGCGGAACACGUACAGAACCUUCCUUCGAGCGGGGAAUAGCCCAGAGAAAUUUGGAUUAAUACCCCAUAGUACAUUAGAGUGGCAUCACUUUGUAUGUUAAAGAAUUUAUUCACUUGAAGAAUGGCUGUGCGGCUGAUUAGGUAGUUGGCGGGGUAACGGGCCCACCAAGCCUGCGAUCAGUAACUGGUGGUGAGAGCACGACCAGUCACACGGGCGACUGAGACACGGGCCCGACUCCUACGGGAGGCAGCAGUAAGGAAUAUUGG
rnacentral:rRNA from 1 species